rnacentral:rRNA from 1 species
AGAAUCAACGCUGGCGGCGUGCCUCAGACAUGCAAGUCGAACGCGAAAGUCCCCUUCGGGGGACGAGUAGAGUGGCGCACGGGUGAGUAACACGUAGGUAAUCUACCUUUGGAUGGGGAAUAACAACCGGAAACGGUUGCUAAUACCGCAUAAUGCAGCGGCACCUAAUGGUGACAGUUGUUAAAGCGGGGGAUCGAAAGACCUCGCGUCUGAAGAGGAGCCUGCGGCGGAUUAGCUAGUUGGUAAGGUAACGGCUUACCAAGGCGACGAUCCGUA